rnacentral:rRNA from 1 species
AUUGAACGCUGGCGGCGUGCUUAACACAUGCAAGUCGAUCGGUAACGCGGGGGCAACCCUGGCGACGAGAGGCGGACGGGUGAGGAACGCUUGGGAAUCUGCCUAUCAGCGGGGGACAACCCGGGGAAACUCGGGCUAAUACCGCAUACGCUCUACGGAGGAAAGCCGGGGACCGCAAGGCCUGGCACUGAUAGAUGAGCCCAAGUCGGAUUAGCUAGUUGGCGGGGUAACGGCCCACCAAGGCGGCGAUCCGUAGCUGGUCCGAGAGGACGAUCAGCCACACUGGGACUGAGACACGGCCCAGACUCCUACGGGAGGCAGCAGUGGGGAAUAUUGGACAAUGGGGGAAACCCUGAUCCAGCGACGCCGCGUGGGUGAAGAAGGCCUGCGGGUUGUAAAGCCCUUUCGGUAGGGACGAAAGCUCUCGACCUAACACGUCGGGAGGUUGACUUAACCUACAAAAGAAGCACCGGCUAACUCUGUGCCAGCCGCCGCAGUAAAAC